AGAGAAAACAGAUCCUGAAUGAAAUUUAUUCAAUUUCUGAUGAAGGGCAGAAGUACGAAUUAGCGUCCCAAAUAUUACCACAAACACGUUUUUUAUUAUGCACCUGAUCAUGUUGGACCAAGAGUACUUGAAUUCUUUAUGAUUGGAUACUUGUAUAGUAAGUAGUACAAUUGUGAAACACACUAUGAAAUUAGAGUCAUUGUGUCACUGUUUAUGAGAUUGAUUUUGUUCUUAAAACUGCUCCCAG